rnacentral:lncRNA from 10 species
AAAGUGAGAAAAGUAGUGACAACUUGAAGCUGGUAGUUGAGGAAGAAGGAGAACUUCUGAACCCAUGAAGAGAGUAUACCCGGUUUGGGUGGGCAGGACUCCAAAGCCUUUAGGAUCGAUGGACCAGAACAGAGAAAUGAAAAUGCAACAAGAACAGCUGUGGGGAAAAGGCAGAAGGCAGCACUGAGAAGUGAAGGAAUAUUUGGGAGGAUCAGAAGCUUGGUCCUGAUUUUGCCAUCAACAGGAACUUGAUGACUUCAAGGGAGUCCCCAAACCCUGGGUUUCUGUUUUCUCAACUCUAACAUGAGGGGCUAGAUGCAUCUGGUUUAGUUAGUCUCCAUGAUGGUUUAGUUCGUCUCCAUGAUCCUGUGAAUUUCAGAUGUUGAAAAUCUUCGGAAAAGCCCUGAAAGAUGAACAGUGGUCUCAAAUAGUCAAGACCCCCUGCUGGGAGGAGCUUCUAUCCUGCUCUGUGGAAGAAAUGGGC